AAAUGGAGGCCAUGGAGGGAAGAACACUCUCUCAAGUUCUUUCUCUCACUUGAUCUUCAAACCACCAUAACUUUUGAUCUAGAGCUCCGAUUGCCGCUCCGUUUGCGGCUACGCGUUCACCGCGGAGAGCUCUACAAAACCCAUACAAUCAAUCUUGAGGACCCAACUCUCUUGAAGGAGAAGGUUAAUCUUGUCUCCUUGAACCUUGGGUGUGAUGCAGGACGUACGGUUUCCCGCUGAGGCACGCUGGAGACUUCUAAAUUUGCAAAGAUUCCUUGUUCUUGGGGUUUAUGUUUUGGUUUAUAUGUUUUGUUAGAUACUUUUAUCUCCAUUAAAUAAAACAAA